GAGGGGGGCUGUCUAGGAGUGGAGUGGGCAUAGGCCAACUUCAAGGGUCCUGAGAGUAACAAUGACUCAGGAGGGACCUGUAAAAAAGCAUCUCGUCCUGGGGCCCAGGCAGUGACUUUGUGUACCUUGCAGCUUCAGGAGUCAGGGAGUGUGGCUAAUCCCUGCAGGCACUGGCAGGAGCCAGGAAGACUGUUCCCACCCAGUGAGAAGGAGGUGAGUGAGUCACUGAGGUUGAUGACCAACUCCCUUCUGGGGAGCCCUACAGCCUGAUGCAGGGAGCAGGAGUGAGCUGUCUUGCUGGAGCAUUCAGGUCUCAGAAGACUCCUGUUGGAAAAUUUAGUCCUGGGAACUUUCAUCUACAACCUCCUUGGAGAUUGUGGUGAGAAAAAUGCAAUACAUAGGGAUAAGAAGAUUAUUUAUUUGCUUAUUGUUUGGACUGAAAAGGAGCAGAUGAUGGUAGGGUGAUAUCAAGACCAUAUCUCCAGAAGCAAGCUAAGUGAACAUGUCAACGUAUAUUCUCUCUCUCUCUCUUUUUUUUUUUUUACAGAAUUUAACAAAAUAAAAUUAAGAAUGUCAGAAAGUCUAUAAAUAUUAGAAGAAUGUGUACUCUUGGGGUGGGGUAAAGGGAAGACAUUCUAAAAUAAGUCAGGAAACAUAAUUCAAAAAGAAAACUGACAUAAUUGAUCAAAUAAAUAUUUAAAACUUU
rnacentral:lncRNA from 1 species